AACUAACUGUGGAUGCACAUUUCCUUUUACAGUGUUUUCCUUAACAGUGUUCAGGGAAUUCCUGUGGCAUCUACAUGCUGAUGUAUGCUCUCAGCACAUGUACAUGAUGCCCACUUACAUUCACAGAGGAGGAGGUGCCAGUGAUUCGCCAGUGGUGGUGCAUUCAAUUGAUGGAGAGCUUUGCCUUGAAGGGUAAUACAGACUUUACAGAUAAAAUUUCAGUAACUCGGCUGAUACUAUAGAAAGGUGUUAUACAAUAGAGUGUAUAUACAUUUACAUAUUUUACAAAG